rnacentral:rRNA from 1 species
GAUGAACGCUAGCGGCAGGCUUAACACAUGCAAGUCGAGGGGCAGCAUGGGGAGUAGCAAUACUCUCUGAUGGCGACCGGCGCAAGGGUGCGUAACGCGUGAGCAACUUGCCCUCAUCAGGGGAAUAAUCGCUGGAAACGGCGUCUAAUGCCCCAUGGCGAUGGAAUCAGGCAUCUGGUUCCAUCUAAAGAUCCGUCGGAUGAGGAUAGGCUCGCGUGACAUUAGCUUGACGGCGGGGUAACGGCCCACCGUGGCGACGAUGUCUAGGGGUUCUGAGAGGAAGGUCCCCCACACUGGAACUGAGACACGGUCCAGACUCCUACGGGAGGCAGCAGUGAGGAAUAUUGGUCAAUGGCCGGAAGGCUGAACCAGCCAUGCCGCGUGAAGGUCAGUGCCCUAUGGGCGUUAAACUUCUUUUGUGCGGGAGCAAUAAGGUCCACGUG